rnacentral:sRNA from 1 species
GCAAGGAACUGGUCGCUCACUCAAGCGAUUUUCUCGACGGACAACUGACCCUGCGCCAGCGUAUCGCGGUGCGCGCGCACCUGGCCAUGUGCGGUAACUGCCGGCGUUUCAUCCGGCAGAUGAAGUUGACCCAGGCGGUGAUCCGACAGAUGCCGGAGGGCGAGCUGCCCGAACUCGAGGCUCUGUCCGAGCGUCUGGCACAGACGCGCCGCGACGACGAUUGAAGCGAACCCGGAGUGAUCCGGGUUUUUCU